rnacentral:rRNA from 1 species
CGUUUUGUGGGGUGCUCGAGUGGCGAACGGGUGAGUAACACGUGAGUAACCUGCCCUUGACUUUGGGAUAACUUCAGGAAACUGGGGCUAAUACCGGAUAGGAGCUCCUGCUGCAUGGUGGGGGUUGGAAAGUUUCGGCGGUUGGGGACGGACUCGCGGCUUAUCAGCUUGUUGGUGGGGUAGUGGCUUACCAAGGCUUUGACGGGUAGCCGGCCUGAGAGGGUGACCGGCCACAUUGGGACUGAGAUACGGCCCAG